rnacentral:tRNA from 1 species
UAAGGUAUAGCUCAGUAGUCAAGUGUGUGCCUAGCAUGCAGAGGUCCUGGGUUCAAUCCUCAGUACCUUCA